rnacentral:siRNA from 1 species
GACAAGAGGUUUCCUUAUCCUC